rnacentral:rRNA from 1 species
GGGGAAUUUUCCGCAAUGGGCGAAAGCCUGACGGAGCAAGACCGCGUGAGGGAAGAAGGCUCUUGGGUCGUAAACCUCUUUUGUUAGGGAAGAACACAAUGACGGUACCUAACGAAUCAGCCUCGGCUAACUCCGUGCCAGCAGCCGCGGUAAUACGGAGGAGGCAAGCGUUAUCCGGAAUUAUUGGGCGUAAAGCGUCCGCAGGUGGCGAUUCAAGUCUGCGGUCAAAGACUGGGGCUUAACCCUGGAAAGGCCGUGGAAACUGAAAAGCUAGAGUGCAGUAGGGGUAGAGGGAAUUCCCGGUGUAGCGGUGAAAUGCGUAGAGCUCGGGAAGAACAUCGGUGGCGAAAGCGCUCUGCUGGACUGCAACUGACACUCAGGGACGAAAGCUAGGGGAGCGAAUGGGAUUAGAUACCCCAGUAGUCCUAGCCGUAAACGAUGGAUACUAGGUGUGGCUUGUAUCGACCCGAGCCGUGCCGUAGCUAACGCGUUAAGUAUCCCGCCUGGGGAGUACGCACGCAAGUGUGAAACUCAAAGGAAUUGACGGGGGCCCGCACAAGCGGUGGAGUAUGUGGUUUAAUUCGAUGCAACGCGAAGAACCUUACCAGGGCUUGACAUGUCCGGAAUCUCCUGGAAACGGGAGAGUGCCUUCGGGAGCCGGAACACAGGUGGUGCAUGGCUGUCGUCAGCUCGUGUCGUGAGAUGUUGGGUUAAGUCCCGCAACGAGCGCAACCCUCGUCUUUAGUUGCCAGCAUUAAGUUGGGCACUCUAGAGAGACUGCCGGUGACAAACCGGAGGAAGGUGGGGAUGACGUCAAGUCAGCAUGCCCCUUACGUCCUGGGCUACACACGUACUACAAUGCGACGGACAAAGGGCAGCAAGCCAGCGAUGGCAAGCCAAUCCCAUAAACCGUGGCUCAGUUCAGAUCGCAGGCUGCAACUCGCCUGCGUGAAGGAGGAAUCGCUAGUAAUUGCAGGUCAGCAUACUGCAGUGAAUUCGUUCCCGGGCCUUGUACACACCGCCCGUCACACCAUGGAAGUUGGCCACGCCCGAAGUCGUUACCCUAACCGUUCGCGGAGGGGGACGCCGAAGGCAGGGCUGAUGACUGGGGUGAAGUCGUAACAAGGUAGCCGUACCGGAAGGUGUGGCUGGAUCACCUCCUUU